AAUUCCUACGGGACGCAGCAGUAGGGAAUUUUCGUCAAUGGGCGCAAGCCUGAACGAGCAAUGCCGCGUGAGUGAAGAAGGCCUUCGGGUCGUAAAGCUCUGUUGCGGGGGAAAAAAGGCAGCAUCAGGAAAUGGGUGCUGACUGAUGGUGCCCCGCCAGAAAGUCACGGCUAACUACGUGCCAGCAGCCGCGGUAAUACGUAGGUGACGAGCGUUAUCCGGAAUGAUUGGGCGUAACGUGUGCGCAGGCGGUCCUGCAAGUCUGGAGUGAAACGCAUGAGCUCAACUCAUGCAUGGCUUU
rnacentral:rRNA from 1 species